GGGGGCUGUACUGGCACAGCCCGAAACGCAGGUCAUCGUCCCACGUGACGACGAACCUGCGAACCUCUCCGUAUCCGUGGGUUCAACCCCCAGUGGGGGAACCCCACGGCUUUAGCCGUGGGAGGAUGUCAGAACGUGGUCAGGU
rnacentral:misc_RNA from 1 species